CACAUCCAAGGAAGGCAGCAGGCGCGCAAAUUACCCAAUCCCGACACGGGGAGGUAGUGACAAUACAUAACAAUGCAGGGCCUUUAAGGUCUUGCAAUUGGAAUGAGUACAAUUUAAAUCCCUUAACGAGGAUCAAUUGGAGGGCAAGUCUGGUGCCAGCAGCCGCGGUAAUUCCAGCUCCAAUAGCGUAUAUUAAAGUUGUUGCAGUUAAAACGUCCGUAGUCAAACUUUAGUCUUACUGGCGUAGUGGCCUGGUCUUCAUUGACCAAGCUCAUUGCUGCCGGAGACUCCAUGUUCAUUAAGGGGAAUCUCUCGGGGUUCUUUUUUAUUUGAACAAUUACCAUGAGCAAAUCAGAGUGUUUAAAGCAGGCUUUUAAGCUUGAAUGUGUUAGCAUGGAAUAAUGAAAUAUGACUCUAGUCCUAUUUUCGUUGGUUUAGGUACUUCAGUAAUGAUGAAUAGAAACGGUUAGGGGCAUUUGUAUUUGGUCGCUAGAGGUGAAAUUCUUGGAUUGACCGAAGACAAACUACUGCGAAAGCAUUUGACCCGGGACGUUUUCAUUGAUCAAGGUCUAAAGUUAAGGGAUCGAAGACGAUUAGAUACCGUCGUAGUCUUAACCACAAACUAUGCCGACUAGAGAUUGGGCGUGUUUAUUAUGACUCGCUCAGCAUCUUAGCGAAAGUAAAGUUUUUGGGUUCUGGGGGGAGUAUGGGACGCAAGGCUGAAACUUAAAGGAAUUGACGGAAGGGCACCACCAGGAGUA
rnacentral:rRNA from 1 species